UUCACAUUGUAAUCUUUUUAUUUACAUACAAUACAGACAAAACAAAAUAUACAUUAAUAAAACAAUUAACAUAAUUCUAUGCAAUGAAGAAUCUGUAGCACUUAAAAAACAAAAUGAAAAAGUUGCUCAAUCAUACUACAUAGACAAACAUCACAUGACCCCAGUUCUUCUCAAGACAAAUGUCACAUGAUUCCUUCUGCAGUCACAGACAAACAUCACAUUCUACUUCAGAGAAACAAGUUCUAUAUAUCUUUCGACUGAUUAUUUCAAAACAUAUUUCAAUCAGCAACCACUGAGACUCUUUUGCUAAUGUGUUUGCAAACAUCAUUUGAAUGCUAGUCUAAUAAUAUGAACACCAAUAGCUGUUACCAUGGACACAGUGAUAUCAAACUUGCCAUGUGAUACUUGUCUGACCAAUAAUUGAGCAGAUAACUCUAUGCAUGAUGGGACUAGACUUGAAUUGUGGGAGAUUAUAGGCAUUCCAUCUAUCACUAGGCAACCGUCAGAAAUGUAUGUUCACAGAAAGUUGAUGACAUCUGUACUUUCUGAUUAAUGAUUAAAUUUACAUCCAAAUUUAUUAACACAAAAUAUAGCAAGAUGAAUACUCACUAUACACUGUUGCCAAGUAAAAUUUGCAAUGCCUAGAUUGUGAAAAUUGAAAAUUAAAAAAAAAAUAGCCAAUCACUAUAAAAAUACAAAAUUUGAUGAAAAAAAGAGGGAAGACAUUUUUGGUGCUAGGAGGGCUGUGUAACACUGAUUAAGUAGACAACAGAUCUAAUGAUCACAGGUAUACAGCAUGAUAUAAUGUGAAAUGUUCAAGUUGGUCAGUCAUAUAUAUAUACGGAUGUAGGUGAAGACAUAUUUGAAAAUUGGCCUAAUAGUGUAUUCUAAAGCUUAAAUGUAUUAUUCAAAUUUUAGACUUUCAAAUAUUCAAAUAGAUUCAUAAUUGAAAAUUGUAGGUUUUUUUGGUUCUUUUUUAUAUAGGUCUGGCAACUUUGACCAACACAAUGUUAACUCCUUGGGUGUUUUUUUUCUGUCUAGUUUUGUAAAACAAUCAAUUACGUUUUAUUUUUCUCUGAAAUUACUUUCACCAAAAAAUUCUUUCUCAAUUUGAAGGUAUAAUGUAAUUAGUGACUCAUUUGACUUGAAAUGAUUUUAGAGUGUGAAAAAAUGUCUACUGGUUUUAGAUAUUACUUAUUUUGGAAAGUCUAUGCUAAUGUAGCAUUAACUUAUACACUGAUUAAAAAUACAAUGCAGUACUUGAAUAACCAUAGUGAUUUCCGCACAUGAAUGGUAUGUAAUUUUUGUGUACCAAGGUGAUUUACACUCUCUAAGAACUAUGUUCAUAAAAGAGCAGUGCCAUAUUUAUAUAGUAUUUUUGCAACUGAUUUGCUUUUAAUUAAAAAAAGAUAGCACUAAUUUUAUUUUGACAAAUAAUGUAAUUGCAAUACUGACCGGUGCUAGCACAUUAAUGCUGGCUGUUCUCAUCAAAAUCAUUAGCAUGGGAGAGUUUUCUCCCUUAUAUCAGAAAUUUCCCAUUCUUCAGAUAUUGUUAGAGUUAUCCCCCAUUGAUUGUGUAUAUGUUGUUGUAAUUAAAGAUGUAUUUAUUAUUGUUAAAUUGAUUGUGCAAUAGAGAUUCAUUCACUUUUUUAAUAGUGAUAGUUGUGUACAUUUUCUAAUUAAUGUUUAAUUAGUAAAUUGGUACCAUGAUAUGAAGGUUAGGAAUUGGUACCAUGAUAUGAAGGUUAGUAAUUCAAACUAAGGGGGAUUAAAGUUUAAUUAGUAAAUUGGUACCAUGAUGUGAAGGUUAGGAAUUCAAACUGAGGGGGAUGUACCAUGCUAUGAAGGUUAGGAGUUCAAACUAAGGGGGAUUUUUCAAAACAAAGUUGAGGUCCCAAUUGCUGCUAAAGUUGCAACUCAAACUGAAUAUUUGAAGUUUUAGCUAGAUACUAAAAUUGACUUUCAGAAUAUUUGCAAUUUUACUUACAUAAAGAAAUGAACUAUUUUUAAGGAGGAUAUUUUCAAUCUAUUAAAAUAUUCAUCAUGUUGUUUAGUAGAGAAAAUUGCUUGAUAAAUAUAAGGUCUUAAUUAGAUCUAUAAUAACAAGCAAAAGGGUUGUUAGUAUAUGAGAAAGUCUUAGGCAUAUCCGUGGUAACAUACCAAACAAAACGGUUGCUUGUCAAAGCAGUUUCCAUGGUAAUAUUUUGAGCAAGAGAUUUGCUUGACUAUGAAAAUUAAAUCAGGAGAGAUAACUCAGUCAUAAGUAGGUUGUGAAACAAAAUCUUCAAAUUCAUUUCUGUCCAAGCAAAAAACAUUUUUUAAUUUCGAUAAUGAAAAGAACAAGGAGAGAGAAAAAACUUUCACCAUAUUACAAAAGCUGUUUAUACAUUUAUUUAAUAUAUUUGAUAUUUGUUGAGUUCUGUUUUCUUACAUCAUGCAAAUGCUACCAGGGGCAUACCUAGUGUAAAUUUUGAACAGUUUCCUUGGUUUUAAGACUGAAAUUAGUAAUUUUUCUCUUCAUAAUAGAUAAAGGGGAUUUGACCAUAGGUAAACUACUGUCUGCUUAAUUAACAGAAAGUUUAUAUUUCUACACACACAUUUCUAAAUAUGUAAUAUUUCCAUUAAAAGUUUUGCUUGGACAGAAAUGACGUUUUGUUAUAGUAGUUAAGAAUAAUCUAUAUUUUUAUAUAAAGUUCCAUUGCCAUCAUAUUAUUUUGACAUUGUUUUUAAAUAGCUUAUAUUAUAGAAUUUUGGUGCUGUUAUGUAAUCACGGUUUUGUAAAUACAUUUUAUAUUUGUGCUAGUUUUUAUCUCAAAAUACACUAAAAUUACAUAACAUUCAUAUGUCUAAAUCACCUUGGUACACAAACAUUACAUACCAUUCUUGUGUUUAAAUCAAUUUGGUACACAAUUCAUGAGUGUAAAUCACUUGUGUACACAAACAUUACAUAAUAUCUCUGUUUGAAAUCAAUUUGAUACACAAUUCAU
rnacentral:lncRNA from 1 species